GGGGAUGUAGCUCAGUGGUAGAGUGCUUGCCUAGCAUGCAUGAGGCCCUAGGUUCAAUCCCCAGCACUGCAA
rnacentral:tRNA from 1 species